AGAUGUACCCUGCAAGUCAGAGGCCCCGUGAGCACGCAGCGGCGGUCCGCCCACCGGGCAGUGCCCCAGCCAGGGGAUUAUAAACAAGCAAACAAAAGUCCAAACAGGCCAGCAUGUUUGGCAAAAUCCUGCCCCAAAUGAUAACUACACUGCAACCACAUCACCUCCAUGUCUGGAAGAGUUGGAUAUAACGUAGCCUAAACUCCACUUGUGAGAACUAUCUCCCUGUCCUUUUCUCUGUCCCGGACUGCGUCAGCCCCACCAGGCACCUCUGGUGCCCCAGUGCUGGCCGCCGGGCCUCCGCCUGGAGACCGCAAGACCUCCUGACGUGACAUGAAGCUCAAGAUUUCUCUGCAUCAUAAUCUAUUCCUGCAAAUGUCGUUCCCAGCAAGGAGUCCGGUAAGACCACAACUUCAGGGCGUGUUGCUGGGACCGCGGAAUGAGCUCCUAACCCUGGGAAAGCCUGCGUUCUAAGUAGUUGUCACAUCAUCACUGCUACCCGGGAAGCAUCUGCGGUGGCUCCUGCUUGCCGGAAGGCAUACAUUCCUCCACGUCUGCUUUGUAACUGCUCAUUGCUUCUCACAGUCAAGAAGGUACAAUAAAAACUAUGGCUCCUGGAUUUUUAUUGAUUCUUGGAGCUUUUUACUUAA